AAAGAUCUCCCGAAAAAUCUGAUCCAGGUGAUUCCUGCCUUGCAAAGGGAGAGGGCAACUAUGAAGCUCAUAUUAAGAACAUCCUGGAAGAAGGAGGAAAAUUAACUGAAGCUUCCAGGCAAUCCACGAAGGAUGAAGCAAAAUAUGACACUGGGAGCCGAAGGAGUGAAAACUUACCUGACAGCAGUACCCCUGCCAGUCAAAAGAAGGAAGUAGUUGAAAC